UACGUAGGGGGCAAGCGUUGUCCGGAAUUACUGGGCGUAAAGCGCGCGCAGGCGGUUUCUCAAGUCAGUGGUGAAAGCCCGGAGCUCAACUCCGGAACUGCCAUUGAAACUGUGAAACUUGAGGACGAGAGAGGUGAGUGGAAUUCCCAGUGUAGAGGUGAAAUUCGUAGAUAUUGGGAAGAACACCGGUGGCGAAGGCGGCUCACUGGCUCGUUUCUGACGCUCAGGCGCGACAGCGUGGGGAUCAAACAGG
rnacentral:rRNA from 1 species